AUUGAACGCUGGCGGCAUGCCUUACACAUGCAAGUCGAACGGCAGCACGGGUGCUUGCCCCUGGUGGCGAGUGGCGCACGGGUGAGUAAUACAUCGGAACAUGUCCUGUCGUGGGGGAUAGCCCUGCGAAAGCCGGCUUAAUACCGCAUACGAUCUCCGGAGGAAAGCGGGGGACCUUCGGGCCUCGCCCUUUUGGGUUGGGCGCUGGCUCAUUCGCUUGUUGGGGGGGUAAAGGCCUACCCAGGGGAUGGUCAGUAGCCGGUCUGAGAGGACGACCCGCGACACUGGGACUGAGACACGGCCCAGACUCCUACGGGAGGCAGCAGUGGGGAAUGUUAGACAAUGGGCGAAAGCCUUAUCCAGCAAUGCCGCGUGUGUGAAGAAGGCCUUCGGGUUGUAAAGCACUUUUGUCCGGAAAGAAAUCCUUGGCCCUAAGACGGUCGGGGGAUGACGGUACCGGAAGAAUAAGCACCGGCUAACUACGUG
rnacentral:rRNA from 1 species